UGUAAGCGUAUACCAAAGUUGUAGCAGUUAAAACGCUCGUAGUCGGAAUUUGGCAGUUCCGGAUGUGUGCACGUCGUGUGCGCACUUCGCGGGGAUUGCUUUUGUGGUCUUGCGUAGGAUGAGGCACUUUUAUUAGUGAACGUCCUCACGCAACCACUUUUUACUGUGAGAAAAUCAGAGUGCUCAAAGCAGGCAUUUGCCGUGAAUGUAUUAGCAUGGAAUAAUAGAAUAGGACUUGGUUCUAUUUUGUUGGUUUGUUGGGACUGAGUAAUGAUUAAGAGGGACAGUUGGGGGCAUUUGUAUUUCGGUGCUAGAGGUGAAAUUCUUAGAUUACCGAAAGACAAACUGCUGCGAAAGCGUCUGCCAAGGAUGUUUUCAUUGA
rnacentral:rRNA from 1 species